GUGGGGAAUCUUGCGCAAUGGGCGAAAGCCUGACGCAGCCAUGCCGCGUGGAUGAUGAAGGUCUUAGGAUUGUAAAAUCCUUUCACCGGUGAAGAUAAUGACUGUAGCCGGAGAAGAAGCCCCGGCUAACUUCGUGCCAGCAGCCGCGGUAAUACGAAGGGGGCUAGCGUUGCUCGGAUUUACUGGGCGUAAAGGGCGCGUAGGCGGACAUUUAAGUCAGGGGUGAAAUCCCGGGGCUCAACCUCGGAACUGCCUUUGAUACUGGGUGUCUUGAGUGUGAGAGAGGUGAGUGGAACUCCGAGUGUAGAGGUGAAAUUCGUAGAUAUUCGGAAGAACACCAGUGGCGAAGGCGACUCACUGGCUCAUUACUGACGCUGAGGCUCGAAAGCGUGGGGAGCAAACAGGAUUAGAAACCCCGGUAGUCC
rnacentral:rRNA from 1 species